UAUUACAUCUUCAAACAGAAGACUAAUUGUAAUUUGUGGAGAAGCUGGAUGUGGGAAAAGUACUUUCACAGCAAAAACAGCCACCUUGGCUUCUGACUGGAUCUCUGGGAACCUCAGAGUGGUAAUUCGAUUUAUUGGCAUCACUGGUGAAAGCAGAAAUAUCCGACUGAUUCUCUUGAGUCUUUGCUAUCAGAUAGUGGAUAUUUACAACGUCUCUGUUAAUUUAUCUAAGGAUUUUGAAGCACUGGUGGAAGAGUUUGUUUCCCUGCUGGAAUUUGCUACACCAGACAAACCACUUCUAAUAUGCCUGGAUGGGAUAGAUGAAUUAUCGGAGGAAUAUGAUGCUGAUCUUUCUUGGAUACCUACUGAACUACCCAAGAAUGUGUAUUUUAUUGCUUCCACGUGCACUGAAUCAGGUUUUUCCCACUUACGGGAACUGGAGAAAAGAACAGUGAAAGAGAACAUUCUACAAAUACCUCCUUUAACA